rnacentral:rRNA from 1 species
UACGUAGGGUGCAAGCGUUAAUCGGAAUUACUGGGCGUAAAGCGUGCGCAGGCGGUUGUUCAAGACAGAUGUGAAAUCCCCGGGCUCAACCUGGGAACUGCAUUUGUGACUGCACAGCUUGAGUGCGGCAGAGGGGGAUGGAAUUCCGCGUGUAGCAGUGAAAUGCGUAGAUAUGCGGAGGAACACCGAUGGCGAAGGCAAUCCCCUGGGCCUGAACUGACGCUCAUGCACGAAAGCGUGGGGAGCAAACAGG